AUUUCAGUAACUCUUUCUGCAGGUUACAUUGUUCAGUGUUACUUUAGUAUUAUUUAUAAAUAGUAUUUACUAAUAUUUUGAAAUAGUUUUUAUUUUUAUAUUUUCAGUUUUGUUUGUUUUUGUUAUUUAGCUUAAGUUUUUUUUUUUUAAGUUUUUCAUCUAAUAUUCAUGUUUUUUAUUUCAGCAAUUUUUGUUGGUUUUAGUUACAACACUGACAAGCGUUACCUAUAGUAGGUGGAGAUAUAUGUGUUUAUGAAUCAUUGUGAGUCAUUGUAUCAUUCAUUUAUUCAUUCAUUCGUUCAAAAACACUUGCUGAGUUCCACAUACUAGCAAUUUACUCUUGCUAUUUCUGCCAUAGAAAGACAUAAAGGUAGUACGAGUAGUAUACUAGUAUGGGGUUCCGAAUUCGGGAACGAAAUGAGUCUUCAUGAGUGAGUCAGUGAAUCAUUCCUUCAGGAAUGAUGCGCCAGUAAUGUAUGACACGGUGACGCAGCGUUGAAUUCUGCCAUGCCAUGGCUCUUUGGAUUUCAUUCGCAGAUCAUAAUAGUUUAACCAGUGGUGUGAGUUUGGGGCGGGACUAUCUAUUGGUUGACCAAUGGCAGAUGGGGGUGUGUUCAGGAAUCCUAUCUGGAAAAAAGUCGAGAGUCUCCUUAUACGAGCACCAAAACAGAAGGUUUUCCACUGAGCGUGAUGCUGUGGCUUCUGUGGAGGAUACACGUUUGCAUUUUUUAUGAUUUGAGACCCAAUUAGAAGCCAAUCCCACCUCUAUUAUCUCUGAAGCCAGUAUCACAUGAUCUGCGUCUGUCAUCCAGCUGCCUCCAGAAUGCUGAACAGACCAACGUCCAACGAAGGAUUCCUGUUUGAACUGGUCAGCUGGUGUACAGGCCCCUCUCCCUGCCUUAAAGCCUCAUUGUUCACAGGGAAAGUGUUCUUGUGCUAGAACCGGCUGUGCUAGAUGCUCUCCAAACACAACAUGCGACUCUGUGGGGCUCCGGGCAAAACCAACUGUGUUGGAAAUCUGAGCGGUUACAUAUCGCAGUUUAUAAAAGAACAAAUUCUAUUUGUGAAGUCUUAUUUGACUAAGUGUGAACUCUGUUGGUUUGGCUUGUUAUACAAGAACCAUUUCUUAAUAAAGAAUAAUAUCCCAAAAUCAAGUUUUAAAGUUCUUAGAAAUGUAUUCUUUGAUUUUUUUGUAACUAGUCUAAAAUGUUAUGUGGUAUACACAUCAAGUAAAAAUCACAUUUUCCUUACACCUUGGUUUCAGGUUUCAUCUUUUUUUCCCCAACAAAAAAGUUUUUUUUUUUUUUUUUAAAUUAAAACAUUUUUGUUGUUGAAUUUCAUUCUUUUAAUUCUUUUUUUCUUCAUUAUGAUAUCAGAACAGUUGUAUCAUCCUGACAUUUUUGGCUAUGACAAAACGUAAUUCAGAAAUUAAAUUCAUUACAAUUUUAAAUUGUAAAAUUUAAAAUAAAUAGUUGCAAAGAAAAAAAAUAAGCAUUGCGUCAUUUACCCUAAAACAUGAAUGACUUUGAGACACAUAGCAAUACAUCACAAAUGCAAUGUAAAAAAACCAAAAUGCACAUUAAAAAUUCAAUCAUUUAAAUUUAAAACAUUUAUAUAGGUGAUCGACAAC